rnacentral:lncRNA from 1 species
GCCGCCCGCCGCGACGGUGCCCGAGAUCUCCUCGUCCGCACGCCGUCCGCGACCCCAGCGCUGCUUGCGACCUCGCCGUCCGCGAGACCGUCGGGACCGCGGGCACAUCCGUCUGCGCGAGGACGGGCCUCGAGCGCCGCCCGCGACCUCCUCGUGAGCGCCGUCCUCGAGCUGCCGUCCGCGCGACCCCUGUCCUCAAGCGCCGUCUGCCGUGAGAGCGUCGUCGACACGCCGCCGUCCGUGACAGCUGCCGUCCGCGCGAGCCCCGUCCUCGAGCGCCGCCCGCGAGCCGCCGCGACUGCCGCCAUGAGCUUGCCGGUGGCCGUGGAUGCGUCCGCGCUCUGCGAGAGCGCCCCAAUCCCUCCGUCAGCGAGGCGCUCGUGAGCGUCCGCCGUGAGACCGUCAGCGGGACCCCGUCCUCGAGCGCCGCCCACCGUGACGGUGCCCGGGAUCUCCGCGUCCGCACGUCGUCCGCGGGACCGUCGCGCCGUCCGCGACAGCGUCGGGACCGCGUGCACUUGCGUCUGCGCGAGGACGGGCCUCGAGCGCCGCCCGCGACCUCCUCGUGAGCGCCGUCCUCGAGCUGCCGUCCGCGCGACCCCCGUCGUCGAGCGCCGUCUGCCGUGAGAGCGUCGUCCACACGCCGCCGUCCGCGACAGCUGCCGUCCGCGCGAGCCCCGUCCUCGAGCGCCGCCCACGAGCC